rnacentral:misc_RNA from 1 species
GAUGAAGAACGCAGCGAACUGCGAUAAGUAAUGUGAAUUGCAGAAUUCAGUGAAUCAUCGAGUCUUUGAACGCACAUUGCGCCCCCUGGUAUUCCGGGGGGCAUGCCUGUCCGAGCGUCAUUGCUGCCCUCAAGCACGGCUUGUGUGUUGGGCCCCCGUCCCCGGUUUCCCCCGGGGACGGGCCCGAAAGGCAGCGGCGGCACCGCGUCCGGUCCUCGAGCGUAUGGGGCUUUGUCACCCGCUCUGUAGGCCCGGCCGGCGCCAGCCGACACCCAACUUUAUUUCUAAGGUUGACCUCGGAUCAGGUAGGGAUACCCGCUGAACUUAAGCAUAUCAAUAAGCGGAGGA